GGAGAGGUGGCUCAGUGGUUAAGAGCACUGGCUACUCUUUCGGAGGACCUGGGUUCAAUUCCCAGCUCCUACA
rnacentral:tRNA from 1 species